rnacentral:rRNA from 1 species
AUUACCUCAGUAACGGCGAGUGAAGCGGUAACAGCUCAAAUUUGAAAUCUGGCUCUUUUAGGGUCCGAGUUGUAAUUUGUAGAAGAUGCUUUGGGCGUGGCUCCGGUCUAAGUUCCUUGGAACAGGACGUCAUAGAGGGUGAGAAUCCCGUAUGUGACUGGUAGCUUUCGCCCGUGUAAAGCUCUUUCGACGAGUCGAGUUGUUUGGGAAUGCAGCUCAAAAUGGGUGGUAAAUUUCAUCUAAAGCUAAAUAUUGGCCAGAGACCGAUAGCGCACAAGUAGAGUGAUCGAAAGAUGAAAAGCACUUUGGAAAGAGAGUUAAACAGUACGUGAAAUUGUUGAAAGGGAAGCGCUUGCAACCAGACUCGCAGGCCGUCGAUCAUCCGGGGUUCUCCCCGGUGCACUCGGCGGUCUUCGGGCCAGCAUCGGUUUGGGUGGUGGGAUAAAGGCCUUGGGAAUGUAGCUUCUUUCGGGGAGUGUUAUAGCCCUCGGUGCAAUGCCGCCUACCCGGACCGAGGACCGCGCUUCGGCUAGGAUGCU